GGGCCUGUAGUUCAGUCUGGUUAGAAUGAUCGACUGAUAGUUAUGCUAGAAAUCGAUUGGUCAUCGGUUCAAAUCCGAUCAGGCCCA
rnacentral:tRNA from 1 species